rnacentral:rRNA from 1 species
CACGCAGGCGGUUAAGUGUGUCCGGUGUGAAAUCCCUCGGCUCAACCGAGGAACUGCGCCGGAAACUACUUGACUUGAGGGUUGGAGAGGUGAGUGGAACUCCAGGUGUAGCGGUGAAAUGCGUAGAUAUCUGGAGGAACGCCGGAGGCGAAAGCGACUCACUGGACAAUUCCUGACGCUGAGGUGCGAAAGCCAGGGGAGCGAACAGGAUUAGAUACCCUGGUAGUCC